rnacentral:rRNA from 1 species
CCCUUAGAUGUUCUGGGCCGCACGCGUGCUACACUGAGUGGAUCAGCGGGUCAGGUUGCGCGAAAGCGUUUCCUAAUCUUUAAAUCCGCUCGUGAUGGGGAUUGACGGUUGCAAUUUUCUGUCAUGAACGAGGAAUACCUUGUAAGCGCGGUCAUCAUCCCGCGCUGAAUACGUCCCUGCCCUUUGUACACACCGCCCGUCGCUCCUACCGAUUGAGUGGUCCGGUGAGGCUUUGGGAUCUGAGCGGAAAGAGCGUUUCGCUGUUUCUGCUCGGAAAACUCAGUCGAACCUUAUCAUUUAGAGGAAGGAGAAGUCGUAACA